AGCAUAUCAAUAAGCGGAGGAAAAGAAACCAACAGGGAUUGCCUUAGUAACGGCGAGUGAAGCGGCAAAAGCUCAAAUUUGAAAGCUUCGGCAUUGUAAUUUCUAGGUCUAGGGUUCGAAGUUUUGCACCAAGUCCAUUGGAACAUGGCGCCUCAGAGGGUGACAGCCCCGUACGCAAAAUCACUUACACCCUAUUCCCAAGAGUCGAGUUGUUUGGGAAUGCAGCUCUAAGUGGGUGGUAAAUUCCAUCUAAAGCUAAAUAUUGGCGAGAGACCGAUAGCGAACAAGUACAGUGAUGGAAAGAUGAAAAGCACUUUGAAAAGAGAGUGAAACAGUACGUGAAAUUGUUGGAAGGGAAGGGCUUGCAAGCAGACACGGUUUCGGCCGGGCCAGCAUCAGUUGUAAGGGCGCCACAAGGCCAUUUAGAAUGUAAGCUUCGGUGGUUAUAGCUAAGUGGACAUGGCGCCUCCUACGACUGAGGCCUGCAGUACAUCUUAGGAUGCUGGCGUAAUGGUUGCAAGUCGCCCGUCUUGAAACACGGACCAAGGAGUCUAACGUCCAUGCGAGUGUUUGGGUGGAAAACCCCAGCGCGGAAUGAAAGUAACUUGGUAGGAGCCCCUGUGGGCGCACUACCGACCGACCCUGAAGUGUUCGGAUGGGUUUGAGUAGGAGCAUGGCUGUUGGGACCCGAAAGAUGGUGAACUAUACCUGGAUAGGGUGAAGCCAGAGGAAACUCUGGUGGAGGCUCGCAGCGGUUCUGACGUGCAAAUCGAUCGUCGAAUCUGGGUAUAGGGGCGAAAGACUAAUCGAACCAUCUAGUAGCUGGU
rnacentral:rRNA from 1 species